GUGCUGUUGCUAGGGAAGAAAAAGUAGUUGAGGAAAUGCUUCUACAUUGACGGUACCUUGUUAGAAAGCGAUGGCUAACUAUGUGCCAGCAGCCGCGGUAAUACAUAGGUCGCAAGCGUUAUCCGGAAUUAUUGGGCGUAAAGCGUUCGUAGGCUGUUUAUUAAGUCUGGAGUCAAAUCCCAGGGCUCAACCCUGGCUCGCUUUGGAUACUGGUAAACUAGAGUUGGAUAGAGGUAAGCGGAAUUCCAUGUGAAGCGGUGAAAUGCGUAGAUAUAUGGAAGAACACCAAAGGCGAAGGCAGCUUACUGGGUUUAUACUGACGCUGAGGAACGAAAGCGUGGGGAGCAAACAGGAUUAGAUACCCUGGUAGUCCACGCCGUAAACGAUGAUCAUUAGUCGGCAG
rnacentral:rRNA from 2 species